AGGACUAUUCUUUCAGGGAUCAUUUCUACAGUGUAUUACUAGACAAGUGCAUCGGAACAGCGUAGGGUACCAGAAAUGCCACUGACGAGCUGCUGUGCUCUCUCCUGAGCGUGAGGCUGGCAGGUGGCGCCACCUGGUGGUGGCUACUCCUGGCUAUUGAUCGAUCUUUUCCUCGUUUGGGAAGCACGGGAGAGAACACAAGCUGGGG